rnacentral:rRNA from 1 species
CUACGGGGGGCAGCAGUGGGGAAUAUUGGACAAUGGGCGAAAGCCUGAUCCAGCCAUGCCGCGUGUGUGAAGAAGGCCUUCGGGUUGUAAAGCACUUUCAGUGGGGAAGAAAGCCUUGGGGCUAAUACCCUCGAGGAAGGACAUCACCCACAGAAGAAGCACCGGCUAACUCCGUGCCAGCAGCCGCGGUAAUACGGAGGGUGCGAGCGUUAAUCGGAAUUACUGGGCGUAAAGCGCGCGUAGGCGGUCUGAUAAGCCGGUUGUGAAAGCCCCGGGCUCAACCUGGGAACGGCAUCCGGAACUGUCAGGCUAGAGUGCAGGAGAGGAAGGUAGAAUUCCCGGUGUAGCGGUGAAAUGCGUAGAGAUCGGGAGGAAUACCAGUGGCGAAGGCGGCCUUCUGGACUGACACUGACGCUGAGGUGCGAAAGCGUGGGUAGCAAACAGGAUUAGAUACCCUAGUAGUC